rnacentral:rRNA from 1 species
AGAGUUUGAUCAUGGCUCAGGAUGAACGCUGGCGGCGUGCUUAACACAUGCAAGUCGAACGAACCUUCGGGUUAGUGGCGGACGGGUGAGUAACGCGUGGGAAUCUGCCCUCAGGAGGGGGAUAUCGGCUGGAAACGGCCGCUAAUACCCCAUAUGCCGAGAGGUGAAAUGAAUUUCGCCUGAGGAUGAGCCCGCGUCUGAUUAGCUAGUUGGUGAGGUAAGAGCUCACCAAGGCAUCGAUCAGUAGCUGGUCUGAGAGGAUGAUCAGCCACACUGGGACUGAGACACGGCCCAGACUCCUACGGGAGGCAGCAGUGGGGAAUUUUCCGCAAUGGGCGAAAGCCUGACGGAGCAACGCCGCGUGAGGGAUGAAGGCCUCUGGGCUGUAAACCUCUUUUCUCAAGGAAGAAGAUCUGACGGUACUUGAGGAAUAAGCCACGGCUAAUUCCGUGCCAGCAGCCGCGGUAAUACGGGAGUGGCAAGCGUUAUCCGGAAUUAUUGGGCGUAAAGCGUCCGCAGGCGGCCCUUCAAGUCUGCUGUUAAAAAGUGGAGCUUAACUCCAUCAUGGCAGUGGAAACUGUUGGGCUUGAGUGUGGUAGGGGCAGAGGGAAUUCCCGGUGUAGCGGUGAAAUGCGUAGAUAUCGGGAAGAACACCAGUGGCGAAGGCGCUCUGCUGGGCCAUAACUGACGCUCAUGGACGAAAGCCAGGGGAGCGAAAGGGAUUAGAUACCCCUGUAGUCCUGGCCGUAAACGAUGAACACUAGGUGUCGGGGGAAUCGACCCCCUCGGUGUCGUAGCCAACGCGUUAAGUGUUACGCCUGGGGAGUACGCACGCAAGUGUGAAACUCAAAGGAAUUGACGGGGGCCCGCACAAGCGGUGGAGUAUGUGGUUUAAUUCGAUGCAACGCGAAGAACCUUACCAGGGUUUGACAUCCUGCGAACCUCUUGGAAACGAGAGGGUGCCUUCGGGAACGCAGUGACAGGUGGUGCAUGGCUGUCGUCAGCUCGUGUCGUGAGAUGUUGGGUUAAGUCCCGCAACGAGCGCAACCCACGUCUUUAGUUGCCAGCAUUCAGUUGGGCACUUUAGAGAGACCGCCGGUGAUAAACCGGAGGAAGGUGUGGAUGACGUCAAGUCAUCAUGCCCCUUACAUCCUGGGCUACACACGUACUACAAUGCUACGGACAAAGAGCAGCAAGUUCGCGAGGACAAGCAAAUCUCAUAAACCGUGGCUCAGUUCAGAUCGUAGGCUGCAACUCGCCUACGUGAAGGAGGAAUCGCUAGUAAUCGCAGGUCAGCAUACUGCGGUGAAUACGUUCCCGAGCCUUGUAGA